AUGCAAGUCGAACGAUGAAGCGCCAGCUUGCUGGUGUGGAUUAGUGGCGAACGGGUGAGUAACACGUGAGUAACCUGCCCCCUACUCUGGGAUAAGCCUGGGAAACUGGGUCUAAUACUGGAUAUGACCAAUCACUGCAUGGUGUGUUGGUGGAAAGAUUUUUUGGUGGGGGAUGGACUCGCGGCCUAUCAGCUUGUUGGUGGGGUAAUGGCCUACCAAGGCGACGACGGGUAGCCGGCCUGAGAGGGCGACCGGCCACACUGGGACUGAGACACGGCCCAGACUCCUACGGGAGGCAGCAGUGGGGAAUAUUGCACAAUGGGCGAAAGCCUGAUGCAGCGACGCCGCGUGAGUGAUGACGGCCUUCGGGUUGUAAACCUCUUUCACCAGGGACGAAGCUAACGUGACGGUACCUGGAGAAGAAGCACCGGCUAACUACGUGCCAGCAGCCGCGGUAAUACGUAGGGUGCGAGCGUUGUCCGGAAUUAUUGGGCGUAAAGAGCUUGUAGGCGGUUUGUCGCGUCUGCUGUGAAAGACCGGGGCUUAACUCCGGUUCUGCAGUGGGUACGGGCAGACUAGAGUAUGGUAGGGGAGACUGGAAUUCCUGGUGUAGCGGUGAAAUGCGCAGAUAUCAGGAGGAACACCGAUGGCGAAGGCAGGUCUCUGGGCCAUUACUGACGCUGAGAAGCGAAAGCAUGGGGAGCGAACAGGAUUAGAUACCCUGGUAGUCCAUGCCGUAAACGUUGGGCGCUAGGUGUGGGGCUCAUUCCACGAGUUCCGUGCCGCAGCUAACGCAUUAAGCGCCCCGCCUGGGGAGUACGGCCGCAAGGCUAAAACUCAAAGGAAUUGACGGGGGCCCGCACAAGCGGCGGAGCAUGCGGAUUAAUUCGAUGCAACGCGAAGAACCUUACCAAGGCUUGACAUACACCGGAAUCAUGCAGAGAUGUGUGCGUCUUCGGACUGGUGUACAGGUGGUGCAUGGUUGUCGUCAGCUCGUGUCGUGAGAUGUUGGGUUAAGUCCCGCAACGAGCGCAACCCUCGUUCCAUGUUGCCAGCACGUGAUGGUGGGGACUCAUGGGAGACUGCCGGGGUCAACUC
rnacentral:rRNA from 1 species